UCCCUGUAGUGUUGAGGAAUAGCAAAAAUGCCCCAGGCGUCGUUGCGGCUCUCAGCUUCCCUAAGCCCCACCCCUGUUUCCUCUCAUCAAAAGCUUCCUCCGCUGCCAUGCCUCACCACCCCCUUGAGCUUGAGGUUGAGCUUGAGGUUGAGCUCGAGAUUGGGCUUCACAAGAAGAAGAGGUUUUCUUUCAAAGGAUUUUACCCUGAAAUGCCGUCGCCCUGAGUACUUUGAACCACAGAAAUUCACUCCACCUGCUGAUAACUCCUUCAAUGGACAGUCGUCUGGGUUGUCAGGAAGGGUGUAUGUUGGUCACUCUAUCUUCAAAGGAAAAGCAGCACUAACAAUAGAGCCAAAAGCCCCUGAAUUUACUGCUUUAGAAUCAGGAGCAUGCAAGGUUGUAAAGGAUGGUUCGAUCCUUCUUCAGUUUGCUCCCGCAGUUGGUACUCGACAAUAUGAUUGGAACAGGAAGCAAGUCUUUUCCUUAUCAGUUGCUGAAAUUGGGGCUUUGAUGAGCCUUGGCAUGAAGGAUACGUGUGAAUUUUACCAUGACCCUUUUAAAGGGAGAAGUGAAGAGGGAAAGAUUAGAAAGGUUUUGAAGGUUGAGCCCCUUCCAGAUGGCUCUGGCUACUUUUUUAAUUUGAGUGUUUCAAAUCGGCCCCUGAACAUUGAUGAUAGCAUCUAUAUUCCUGUAACUAAGGCAGAAUUCGCAGUUAUUGUCUCAGCAUUCAAUCAAGUUUAAAAACUUUGGCUUGGGAGUUAGCCUGUCCUGAAUCUGGUUGACUUGGUCAGACUCGUUCAUCUUGCCAUACCUUUUGGGUUGGCAUGCUUUUGCCGAGUCAAUCAGGCCAGUAGAUACGUCUCAGCUGACCAAUGCAAACCAGCGGCGUGGUGCAGAACUCGAAUGGGGUCGAUGAUAUUAUUGUUCAUGAUAAGAGGGAUGCAAGAUUACCGUGAAUGAGCUGGAUUGGGGUUUUGAUCCAGGUGAAUGGAUUGUGAUACCUUCGGGUUUUAGAGCUAUCAUAUUUUACAGUUAGGAAAUCCGAACUGCCCAUUCAAAGUUGAUCUGUUUUGAAAUGUAAUGUAGCUUGCAGGUUUCGCGUGCAUAUAUAAUUUUGAGAGAGUGACAAAAGAGGUUCUUGUAGCAUGUUUUUACCAGUUAAAUAUGUUCACUAAAACUUACAAGUUGAAGCUAAAGUAUUUUCCUAACCGAUUGAAUUGCAAUUGAUGAUUGCUUUAGGCUUG